ACUCCUACGGGUAGGCAGCAGUGGGGAAUUUUCCGCAAAGGGCGCAAGCCUGACGGAGCAAGACCGCGUGAGGGAGGAAGGCUCUUGGGUUGUAAACCUCUUUUAUCAGGGAAGAAGAUCUGACGGUACCUGAUGAAUCAGCAUCGGCUAACUCCGUGCCAGCAGCCGCGGUAAUACGGAGGAUGCAAGCGUUAUCCGGAUUUAUUGGGCGUAAAGCGUCCGCAGGUGGUUUUUCAAGUCUGCUGUUAAAGCGCAGAGCUUAACUCUGUAACGGCGGUGGAAACUGAGAGACUAGAGUAUGGUAGGGGUUGCGGGAAUUCCCAGUGUAGCGGUGAAAUGCGUAGAUAUUGGGAAGAACACCAGCGGCGAAAGCGCGCAACUGGGCCAUUACUGACACUCAUGGACGAAAGCUAGGGGAGCGAAAGGGAUUAGAUACCCCUGUAGUCCUAGCUGUAAACGAUGGGUACUAGGUGUUGACCGUAUCGACCCGGUCAGUGCCGUAGCUAACGCGUUAAGUACCCCGCCUGGGGAGUAUGCACGCAAGUGUGAAACUCAAAGGAAUUGACGGGGGCCCGCACAAGCGGUGGAGUAUG
rnacentral:rRNA from 1 species